AAUUCUCAACCUUUCAAGCUUUUAUAUGGAAGCUAGUCAGGCUUGGAUUCUGGGAAUUGCUGGGUUCUUCAAUGAAGUCAGCUUUCCUUAAAUGUAUUAGCAAGAUCAAUCGCUGGAUCACUUGUGAUAUGAUAAUUAUCUAUAUCAUCAAUGAGACGGUGUUUUCCUUCAUGGAAAGAUCUAGCUUCUAAUGGUCUCUUCAGAGACAAUUCAUUGACU
rnacentral:misc_RNA from 1 species